AAAUGUGAGGGUGAUCUGUUUGUGACGUCUCUCUUGCCCCAAUGAUCACAAGAAUUAAUUUGGCUGUUCUAGCUGGCUGGGCAGAUGUCCUCUUCCUCCCUGACUAGUCAACUGUAUCAGUCUGGAAGCUGUAUGCUUGGUGGAAGAGGAUCGCCUUCCUUGAAUAAACAAGGCUGGUCAAGAGCACACAAGUAGCUGUAUUCUCUUACUAGAACUUCCAAAUAAGCUGUCAAGAGAAAUCACAUACUGCCAAGAGAAUUAACCAACUCUGUGAAAAAAAAGGCAUUAAUCUAUUCAUG
rnacentral:snRNA from 1 species